rnacentral:hammerhead_ribozyme from 1 species
AUCGAGUUGAUGAGUCCCAAAUAGGAUGAAAUGCACAUCCUUGAU